GACGAACCGUGCGAACGUUAUUCGGAAUCAUUGGGCUUAAAGAGCGCGUAGGCGGCGAGGCAAGUGAGGGGUGAAAUCCUAUCGGCUCAACCGUGGAAUAGCCUUUCAUACUGCCUUGCUCGAGGGGGGUAGGGGUCGAUGGAACUUCCGGUGGAGCGGUGAAAUGUGUUGAGAUCGGAAGGAACGCCAGUGGCGAAAGCGUUCUGCUAGACCUGUACUGACACUGAGGGACGAAAGCUAGGGGAGCGAAUGGG
rnacentral:rRNA from 1 species